UCUAGUCUCUGGUCUAGUAUAGUUUGGGAAAGAACUCCUUGUGUGUGAUCAUGUUUGUUUGCUUGUUUUUCUCAAAUCUUGUUGUCUUAUACCUGAGAACCACUUCGAAUCUAAAAGAUAAACAUAUACCUAGUUCCUUCCUGAAAUACCAGAAAUUGCAAGCUUGUCAAAUUGUGAUUAAUGAGGAUUUACUGGAUAUCAACAUAUGAGUCUUCGAUCACCAAGAAAGCAAAGUGUAUUCCAUCUGCAUGACAGUUUAGGCUGUGAAUACCAAGAAUAUAAUGUUAUGACCUAAGAAAUCUGAGGAUAUCGUCCUUCUGCCUGCUGAAAAUCAUGGAAUUAAAAAGAUAUAGAGUCCAUUCUGAGAAAUUCAAUUUCAUCAAAUGGAAAGUGAAAGCAUCUCCAAUUCUAUAUAUACACUGAAGCCUUCAUGCCCCAUUUACACUACUUGUAUCGAAUCCCGUAAUAGGUUUCUGCCUAUUGAGUCCAAAUAAAUGGUGGUUAUCAAAA
rnacentral:lncRNA from 10 species